GCUGGGCAUGGUGGUGCAUGCCUGUAAUCCCAGCUACUCAGGAGGCUGAGGCAGGAGAAUUGCUUGAACCCAGGAGGCAGAGGUUGUGGUGAGCCGAGAUCCGCCACUGCACUCCAGCCUGGGUGAUACAGCGAGACCCCCUCUCAA
rfam:Homo sapiens chromosome 9, GRCh38 reference primary assembly.